UGCCAGCCGCCGCGGUAAUACGGAGGUUCCAAGCGUUGUUCGGAUUUACUGGGCGUAAAGGGAGCGCAGGCGGAAAGAUUAGUCUGAAGUGGAAUCCCGGGGCUCAACCUCGGAAGUGCUUUGGAUACUGUCUUUCUUGAGUCCGUGAGAGGAGAGUGGAAUUCAGGGUGUAGCGGUGAAGUGCUUAGAUAUCCUGAGGAACACCAAUGGCGAAAGCAACUCUCUGGCACGUGACUGACGCUGAGGCUCGAAAGCGUGGGUAGCGAACGGGAUUAGAUA
rnacentral:rRNA from 1 species